rnacentral:rRNA from 1 species
GCGCGCCCUUCGGGGUGAGCGGCGGACGGGUGAGUAACGCGUGGGAAUAUGCCCUUCUCUAAGGAAUAGCCUCUGGAAACGGAGAGUAAUACCUUAUACGCCCUUUGGGGGAAAGAUUUAUCGGAGAAGGAUUAGCCCGCGUUAGAUUAGGUAGUUGGUGGGGUAAUGGCCUACCAAGCCUACGAUCUAUAGCUGGUUUGAGAGGAUGAUCAGCCACACUGGGACUGAGACACGGCCCAGACUCCUACGGGAGGCAGCAGUAGGGAAUCUUAGACAAUGGGGGCAACCCUGAUCUAGCCAUGCCGCGUGUGUGAUGAAGGCCCUAGGAUCGUAAAGCACUUUCGCCAGAGAUGAUAAUGACAGUAUCUGGUAAAGAAACCCCGGCUAACUCCGUGCCAGCAGCCGCGGUAAUACGGAGGGGGUUAGCGUUGUUCGGAAUUACUGGGCGUAAAGCGCACGUAGGCGGAUUAGUAAGUUAGAGGUGAAAUCCCAGGGCUCAACCCUGGGACUGCCUUUAAUACUGCUAGUCUUGAGUUCGAGAGAGGUAAGUGGAAUUCCGAGUGUAGAGGUGAAAUUCGUAGAUAUUCGGAGGAACACCAGUGGCGAAGGCGGCUUACUGGCUCGAUACUGACGCUGA